GUGAAAACUACGACUUUUGCCGAUGUUUCCAACAUCGGCAAUGUUGGGGUGAUGUAAUACCGAGUAAGAAUUACGCCCCUUAUUGUAAACAAUCAUGGCGACUGGCAGACAGCUGUGGUCGAUUCAAAAAGGUGAAAGACCGGUAAUCACACCAAAAUAUUAAAAUCAAACGUGCUCAUCCACCACAACUACCCAGCUUGCCAUGUUUACUUUGGUGAUCCUUGCAAGGACGACGACUGUCCUCUUUUUCGAAACACCAAACUCGGCAAAUACGCAAGCAGAGAUGGAAGGAAGAGCGAAGGAUGGUCGAGCUCGGGGAACUUCUCUCCAAUCUCGUCGCUUGCAAAUUGGGCCCUAUUCCAUUAACGUAUGGGAAUAUUGUCGGCGAGAUGAGGAAAGGACUUAGCGGCUGUUUGUGCGUGAAAUGUCAGACAAUGUGGGCAAAUAAACAUGGUUCCAUACGGGAAGACGCACAGGGAGAAGAAGGGGAAGUCAGGGAUGCCAUGUUUUGUUAUCAACACAAAGCUUGGAACAGCUAUGAUCGAUAGCGUUGGGGGACCAGACAGGAUGAAUAAUCUCCUUUCAACAUUAAAUAUCAAACCAGAGAAGUUUAAAAAGCAUGGAACGGAGGGAUGGAGGCUAUGUUGAAGCUGUUGCCAAAGAGUCGACUCAACAGGCUGCAAAUGAUUCAUUUAGAAUGGAGAUGGAAUGAUUGAUGUCAUCCCAUUCCUCUACUGUACCAGUAGCUGAUGCUAGUUCUGAUGAUGAAAGUGGACAUUCUGACCAGACUCCUUAAGCAUCUAACAUUGAAAGUCUACCAGUCUCAUCUUCAAACAGGUCUUAUUGAUAGCCUACCUGUCUUCAAGGCCGUUCCUGGACAAUCAUCAUACAAGCAAGAAAAUCUAGCCAAGACCUUUUUGCACUCAUCAUAUGAAGCACACAAUGCCAUAGAAGAUGUAAAGGUCCUUGGUAAGCUUGAAUCUCAUACAAAGAUGAAAAUUCAGGAACUUGCUAGGUUUAGUUUCCCACCAUCAGCAGUCCACAAUCUACUUCUCUUCAACAAAGAAAAGGCCAAACACAUCAAAACACUCCAUUCUCUCUUAGCCGAAGGGGUCAUGAAAAUGUCAAUUGCCGAGAAAAUUGCCAGAUCAGGACUGAAUCUUGGUCACCUGCGCAAAAAUUUUCAGCGUGAUAGAGAAGAUGGUCUUGGCAAUACAGAUGUAAAGAAAACCCUUGCGGAUGUCAUUCCGAAAUUAGUCCUCUUUCUCAACAAGGACUAUACCAAGCUUACAAUCUGGUUGUGUGUAAGGGAUGGUUUGGUGACAUGCAUUUGAUACAUGUAUUGUUCUCAUUAUAGUACACAUAUUCAUUUUUAUCCCCUCUGCAUAUAAUGCGGUUGGAUAUUGUCAUCUGAUCUGUCUGUCCAUCCAUAUUUUCGGAGCAUACUUGAAGACUGUGAGAUAUGUUUUAUUCGAAUUUGGUUCAAGUAUUAACAAGGGGAUUAAGUGCUGCCUUUUGCUAUUUAGGGAAUAAUUAUUUUAAAAAAUUUUUUGUUCCUGUUUUCACGUUUUUUUACUUUGACUCUGUUUAGCAUGGUUUAUGGUGGUUUGUUUGUGCAGCCCAUAUCUCUAAAACUAAUAGGUAAAAAACUAGGCUUAAAACUGUGCACACACAAAGACCAGGUUGUCAACAGGUGCCUUUUUCUAAUAAACCUUUUUUAUUUUUUUAUAUAUUUUUUGUUUCCAUGGCAACAAGUUUGAUUUUGACUCAUAGUGGUGUGUACCUGACACAGAAAUACAAAGUUCCGAAUCCCAAUUCCAUCUUAUUGUUUUGAUAGCACAAUAACUACUCUUUUAUACGGACAGACACAUUAAAUGGAAACAGAUGAUUUGUUCUUUCAAAUUUGUCAUCUUCUGAUGGUUAUGUUAGUCAGAAAUUGUUUCUGUGCAGGUCUGACUGAUAAACUUGAUGUUGAUGUAUAUGUGAAAAUAGAAAUGCUUGACGACAUGCUUUUGUUGUCUCUGGGUGCAGAUGUUCAUGACCAAAAAAAGGUGAUUAUGAUACUUGGGAAUACAUGAUACUGUCUCUUUGAAUUUUAGAGAAACACCUUAUGUAUAUAUAUGUACUAGACACAUACGCUCUUCUGCUCCCAAUUUGUACAUUGUAAAUUGUGUAUUCAUGAGUACUGUAUUGCAUGCUUUCAGUGUAUAUGGUCACGUAAUAUAGAUAAUGUGUUGUAAAGAGUGUAUUUGUCUAUCUAUCAUCUUCACUUUCAAAUCUGUUAGUAAUACAGAAAUGUAUUUAUUCAUUCAUAUCUUUAUUAGAGAUGACUCAUUGUUACUGGUAAAAGUACAUCAUGUUUUGGUAAGAGUCAAAAUACAUGACCAGGGUUUUUUAUGAAAGUACAUAUCAUUCACACACAUCCAUACACACAUUCACACUCACUAGAAGCUUUAGUACUUAUGAAGACAGAAUGCAGGAUAUAUAUUUAGUAACGUUUUGGAAUAGCAAAUGUUUAUAUUUUCAAAAGGUUUUCAUAAGGAGCCCAUUCCGUAUAGAAUUCAGUCUGUUUGGCUUUAUUAAAGUGUCUAUAUUUUUCUAUUUGGUAAUAAUAUUUAACCUCAUUUUGGAAAUGUGUAAUGGUUGGUUGGUUAUUUUUCAUCUAUAAAUGUGAAAUUUGGCCAAUAAGAGUAUCAGAUAAAAAAUAUCAUCGGUAUGGAAAUGUUUUGAAAAGCCAAAAAGAAUUAGGUCUGAAGUAAGAUUUAUCUUGCCAGUAUGUGGACACUUGGAUUCAAUCCAUUGUGAAAAUCUUUUCCAGAAGUUUUUGCUUAGCCUACAGUCCCAAAACAGAUGUUGGAUAGAUUCUGGCUCGGCAUUACAGAAAGUGCAUAGACAGUUGUCAACAAUAUGCAUCUUGAGUAGAUAAGUAUUAACAGGUAGAAUUCUGUGGAGCAAUCUAAGCUGAAAGCAUCUAAGUUUAGGGCCUGGAGUAGUUUUGUGUGCUCUGAUAAAUAAGCUAGGCCAGUUCAUAUCCAUUAAAAGUUCCUCUUCCCACUUGUCAAUAACUUUUAAGCUUUCAUCGGUUUGACUUAUUACAUAGUAGUAUUUCUUUGAGCCUUUUUUACAUGAAAAGAGAUUGGCAAUAGAUAUAUUUGUAUUGUUUGUUGUUUCCAGAUGCAGGUCUUUAUUAAUGCCUAAUUGUAUCCUGUAUGUAUUUACUGAUCUUGUAAUACCAUAAAAUUCAAGAAAAUUUAUAUUGAAGUAUUUCUUACAGAAUUGUUGCAAUGUCAUAAAAUUUCCAUCAUUGCUUAGCAAGCAAUGUAUGCUGUGUAUGUUAUUGAGAUGAAAGGUUUUGUUAUCUAAUGAUUUGCCAUUUAUAAUAAUAUUUUUAUUGUAUAGCAGAGGUUCCCUCAGGAACUCUUCAUAAUUAUUGGGUUUUAUUUUAUUGCUAUAUUUAGAAAAGGCAGUAAAACAAUCUUUCCAAAAUUGUUUUUUUUUUUUUUAGCAAGCUUAAGUGGAAAAUCACUUCCCAUAAAUAGUAAAUCAGGAAAUUCAGGAGUAGUAUUAGUCAUUAAAAUUUUCCAUUUCUUUUCCAAAUCAACAUUUAGUAACCUUUUUUAUCCAGAUUAUUUUCAAAGCAUCAACAUAUGCAAAAAUAUUUAUCAUACCAAGUCCUCCAAGGGAAAUAGGUUUACAAGCAACUGUUCUCUUUAUUUUGUCUGGUUUAUUAUCCCAUAAAAACUUGAAAAGAAUAGUAUUUAUCUUUCUAAGGAAUUCAUCUGGGGGACUAGGAAGGGUAAGGAAAAGGAAAUUAAGUUUUGAAAUGAGCAUUGAUUUGAUAAUUGUAAUUUUGCCUAAUGGGGUUAUAAUUCUUUUCAUCCAUCUCUUGGUGGUUUGUUCAAUUUCAAAGAUUUUGCUUUCAAAGUUAAGUUUAAUCAUUUUAUCUCGAUUAGUAGAAAAAACUCGUUGACAUGUACAUGGGUUUGACAUUUCAAUUGUGUAAUUUUCC